rnacentral:sRNA from 1 species
GCCGGGCGCGGUGGCGCACACCUAUAAUCCCAGCUGCUCGGGAGGCUGAGGCAGGAGGAUCUCGAAUUCAAAUCCAGCCUCAGCUACUCAGUGAGGCCCUAAAGAACUCAGUCAGAUCCUGUCUCUA